UGAGGAAUAUUGCACAAUGGGGGAAACCCUGAUGCAGCAACGCCGCGUGGAGGAUGAAGGUUCUAGGAUUGUAAACUCCUUUUCUGAGGGAAGAGUAAGGACGGUACCUCAGGAAUAAGUCACGGCUAACUACGUGCCAGCAGCCGCGGUAACACGUAGGUGGCAAGCGUUAUCCGGAUUUAUUGGGCGUAAAGCGCACGCAGGCGGUUAAUCAAGUUCGGCGUGAAAUCUCUCGGCUCAACCGGGAGGG
rnacentral:rRNA from 1 species